AUUGAACGCUGGCGGCAUGCCUUACACAUGCAAGUCGAACGGCAGCACGGGUGCUUGCACCUGGUGGCGAGUGGCGAACGGGUGAGUAAUACAUCGGAACGUACCUUAUCGUGGGGGAUAACGCAGCGAAAGCUGUGCUAAUACCGCAUACGCCCUGAGGGGGAAAGCGGGGGAUCGCAAGACCUCGCGCGAUUAGAGCGGCCGAUGCCUGAUUAGCUAGUUGGUGGGGUAAAAGCCCACCAAGGCGACGAUCAGUAGCUGGUCCGAGAGGACGAUCAGCCACACUGGGACUGAGACACGGCCCAGACUCCUACGGGAGGCAGCAGUGGGGAAUUUUGGACAAUGGGGGCAACCCUGAUCCAGCAAUGCCGCGUGAGUGAAGAAGGCCUUCGGGUUGUAAAGCUCCUUUGUCAGGGAAGAAACACCGGCUCUAACACAGUCCGGGAAUGACGGUACCUGAAGAAUAAGCACCGGCUAACUACGUGCCAGCAGCCGCCGUAA
rnacentral:rRNA from 1 species